rnacentral:rRNA from 1 species
GACGAACGCUGGCGGCGUGCUUAACACAUGCAAGUCGAACGGAAAGGCCCUGCUUCUGUGGGGUGCUCGAGUGGCGAACGGGUGAGUAACACGUGAGUAACCUGCCCUUGACUUUGGGAUAACUUCAGGAAACUGGGGCUAAUACCGGAUAGGAGCUCCUGCUGCAUGGUGGGGGUUGGAAAGUUUCGGCGGUUGGGGAUGGACUCGCGGCUUAUCAGCUUGUUGGUGGGGUAGUGGCUUACCAAGGCUUUGACGGGUAGCCGGCCUGAGAGGGUGACCGGCCACAUUGGGACUGAGAUACGGCCCAGACUCCUACGGGAGGCAGCAGUGGGGAAUAUUACACAAUGGGCGGAAGCCUGAUGCAGCAACGCCGCGUGCGGGAUGACGGCCUUCGGGUUGUAAACCGCUUUCGCCUGUGACGAAGCGUGAGUGACGGUAAUGGGUAAAGAAGCACCGGCUAACUACGUG